CCCCUUUUAAAUCCCGUAACGAAAGUCUAUAUUAAGCACGUUGGGUAACCAACUAUGGCGAUAAACGUUGCGUGGAAUAAACGUUGCGGACCCGGGGGCGGUACCCGGCGCCUCCACCAUUUUUUUAAUCUGUGGGGGCGAAAUAGGUUCGACGCGCGCAGUAAAGACGUAAUUUUCGUUCGGCGUGACACCACCGUUACCGGGGUCAAAUUUACAGAUGCUAACGAUAACGAAGCAUUUGCCGUAGCUGCUUAAUAUAGCUACACGGGGUUCGGGGAGGCACCUGGCAACAGAAGCCUCCUCA
rnacentral:tmRNA from 1 species